UACGUAGGGCGCAAGCGUUGUCCGGAAUUAUUGGGCGUAAAGAGCUCGUAGGCGGCUUAUCACGUCUGCUGUGAAAUCCCAGGGCUCAACCCUGGGCCUGCAUUCGAUACGGGCAGACUAGAGUAUGGCAGGGGAGACUGGAAUUCCUGGUGUAGCGGUGAAAUGCGCAGAUAUCAGGAGGAACACCGGUGGCGAAGGCGGGUCUCUGGGCCAAAACUGACGCUGAGGAGCGAAAGCGUGGGGAGCGAACAGG
rnacentral:rRNA from 1 species